rnacentral:rRNA from 1 species
UACGUAGGGAGCAAGCGUUGUCCGGAAUCAUUAGGCGUAAAGCGCGCGUAGGUGGCCACAUAAGUCCGUUGUGAAAGUCAAAGGCUCAACCUUUGAAAGCCGAUGGAUACUGUGUGGCUAGAGUACGGAAGAGGCGAGUGGAAUUCCUGGUGUAGCGGUGGAAUGCGCAGAUAUCAGGAGGAACACCAAUAGCGAAGGCAGCUCGCUGGGACGUUACUGACACUGAGGCGCGAAAGCGUGGGGAGCGAACAGG